rnacentral:lncRNA from 12 species
UUAGCUUUCUGUUAGUCACAGAAGACUUGGAAUAAAGCACUUUUAUGAUACUUUUAUGAUGUGUUUUUUUUUACAUUUUUGUACCUUUGCUCACCAUUGACUUUUGGAAGAAAGCAAGUCUCUAAGAAAGACAUGGUGGUGAGUAAAUAAUGAUAUCAUUUUUAUUCCUGGAUGAAACUCUUUCACUUUAAGUGCAGCAGCUUUUGAGUUUUUAAGUUCCCAACUUAAAAGGCAUCAGUUUCAUCCCAUUUUUUUAAAUUUAAGCCAAUAUUACAAAGCAUGUAAGCUACCAUUCAAAAAAAUGUUUAAAGAAAUGAAUACUUUUAUUUAGCAAGGAUGCACAGUAUUAUUAUUUUAAAUGUAUUUUUUAUCAAAUGAAUUCAAAAUAAUAAUUUCAAAACAAGUAGAUAAAUAAAUCUUACUGACCCCAAACUUUUGAACAGUGGUGUAUAUCCUCUGUCACCCUCAAGAUAACCUACAUGUAAUAGCCCAUUUUGUUCUGCAGACAUAAUUCAAAUGGGACACAAAUAGGACAAGUGGCUGUUGCACAUUUUAUUUGGGCGCUGUUCAUCUUAAUGGCUGCUUGAAGACUUAGUUGGCUUGAGUGUGUGAAGCCUGGGCACAGCUCCUGUGUCUGGGAGGUUCUCUCUCUGGGAGGGCACUUGGAGAAAGCUUGCACUGUCUGGGAUCUUUAGCAGGGAUACAGAGACUGUGGUACAGUGUGUAUCUCCAGCAGUCAUGGUGUGCUGUGUCUGUAUGGGAUGUUACCUUGUACUCGAUCUGCUCCUGCUUGGAAUGCAUGUGGAGGGCAAAUGGAAAGCCAUGAACUACAGUGUCUCUUCUAAGAAUGAAGAUCUUCAUAGUAAAUGGGAAAUUUCAUCUUAUCUGAACAGAACUUCAAAGCAUUCACUCCAUGGUUUUGUAGUGGUGGACGAGUCUGACCUUCUCACGUCUCCCGCCAUCAGCACACAUAGCAGGUAUAAGGACACCAGGGACAAAAAGAUCCAGUCCACCACCUCUCAAAAACUGAAAGCAGAUUUUGGUGCAGGCCAUCUUGAGCGGCUCCCUUUGAAGCCCUCUAGGGACAUUGCUGACCUGGAUUCUAUUUUGAAUGUGAAGACAUCAGCUGGUCAUCAGCUGGAUCUUGUCUGGCCUACAGUCCAUCCUGAGUUAAACCAGCUGACUGAAGAAGGUUUCUUACUUCCUUCGAAGAGCUUCGAUUUAGUUAAAAAGCCUUUGGUCAGUGUUCACUCAAUAAAAGGAUAUGAAUCACUUGUAGGAAAUGGACAAGCUGACUACAAGCACUCAAGCAAGAAAAGAGUUGCAUUUAAACAUGGUGAUGUUAUAUUAGGCAUGGAUGGAAGGAGAUACCAGCUCCUCAGUGGACCUCCAGGGCCUGUUGGACCACCAGGCAAAAGAGGGUGUGCAGGGAAAAGGGGCUAUAUUGGAUACAAGGGUGUUAAGGUGAGGAAUUUACAUUUCAUACAACUCAUUACAUUGUUGUGCUCGGAUGGCAUCCCACUGAUUUGUAUCUGUGUGUCCUACAAGGGUUCUCAAGGAGUCCGAGGAGCAGAUGGGCCAAGGGGCAUAUCAGGACCUCCAGGUCCACCAGGACUCCCAGUCCUCUACCUUUGGAGGAACACAGAGGAGGAUUGGGCCGCAUUUAGGAGAACAUCUUAUUACCAGUUGCUGGCGGCUGGAUGGCCAAGACAGACAGGACACCCUGGACCAAUGGGUGAGAUGGGGAGACCAGGUUUACCUGGGUUACCUGGAGACCCAGGUCAGACAGGACCACCAGGCCGAAGAGGCGAAAUGGGUGGCAUUGGACCAAAGGGUUUUCGAGGCAGAGCAGGGACUCAAGGAAGAGAUGGAGAGAAAGGUCCAGAUGGGGUGACAGGAUCUCCAGGUGUCCCUGGCCUACAGGUGAGACUGAGGGCAUGGGACGUCUACAGUAGCUUUUGCAGUUGUUGUAAAAGUUGGAACACUAGUGUGAAUACAGUAAUGUUUUUGGAUAGAUUCCAUAAAGCUAUAAAUUGUACCUGUGGAACGUGUGUACUUCAAUUGCGCAAAACCAUAAGUUUUAUAUUUCUGGUUGUUGAUCAAGGGUCCUCAUGGUUACAAAGGUGACACAGCGCCCCCUGGUGAGAAAGGAGAUGAGGUACACCAUGAGGCAACAUAAUAUUCUGAAAUACUGUACACUCCCCUGUAACUGCCUCACACAGGAUUAUAAUAUACUUAUCUACAUAAAGCAGUUUUUCUGCCUCCACGAGCAGGGUUUUCCUGGUGCUCCUGGGCCCAGAGGAGGCGAAGGACAGACUGGCCAGAAGGUAAAGAAACCUGCAUCUGAAGUAUUUAUAAUUCAUUUGAUUUGUGUGUACUGUUUAUACUGUAUACAGUAAAAAUGGUAUACAUAUACUGCCCCCUAGCGGAUCAGGAGGGGCCACUUCCACUAAAAAAAGUAAUCUAUGAUUGGCUAUGGCUUUGUUGUUUUCCUUUUUCUUUUAUUUUUUAUUUUAUUAUUAUUAAAUAAUAAUUUUCUUUAUUUAUUUAUAGGGCUCAAAAGGAGGAAUUGGGUUUACUGGAUUUUCUGGUCCUCCAGUGAGUAAAUCACUUCAUAUUCUUGAACUACUAGUAACUGUUAUUCUUGCUAGUAACUGGUGUUAGUAUAUUAGAUAUUGUUCUUAUAUUUUCCUUUUGUUUUUAUUUUUUUACAUUUUAUUUUUUUAUUUUUAAAGGGACCAGUUGGUUUACAAGGUGUUCAAGGGAUUCCUGGACCACCUGGUCCUAAGGUGAUUCAUUUAAUUCACAAUUUAUUUUAACAUAUUUUUUACAUUCACCUUGACAGUAAGUAUAAAAAAAUUUGUUUUCAUAGGGGGAUCCAGGAAAUGAUGAAAAACGUGGUCCUCCAGGGACAGUAGUGAGUCAUUAAUAACCCCUUUUUAAUAAGAAAUAAUCACUGUCCUCAAUUCAGUUAGUUUCUUUUUGGUUAUAAUGGAUAUCCUUUAUAAUUUUUUACUUGGAUGAAACAUAGUUUAAAGAACUUUCUUUUUUCAAGUUUUCAUAAGAGUCACAAACACUCUUAAAAUGUAAAUUUUUAUGGAUCCUGCUUAAUAAUGCGCAGUUAUGUGUUUGUGUCUUACCAGGGAGCACCAGGUGCUACAGGAUUGGUGGGUGCACAAGGUGUUAAUGGCUCAGAAGUAAGUGAUUGACACUAGCUUACUGAAUCUGUAGUGUAGUUUCAUUACUUAAAGUGAUAGUCUACCCAAAAAUGAAAA